rnacentral:rRNA from 1 species
AUUGAACGCUGGCGGCAUGCCUUACACAUGCAAGUCGAACGGCAGCACGGGAGCAAUCCUGGUGGCGAGUGGCGAACGGGUGAGUAAUACAUCGGAACGUGCCCAAUCGUGGGGGAUAACGCAGCGAAAGCUGUGCUAAUACCGCAUACGAUCUACGGAUGAAAGCAGGGGAUCGCAAGACCUUGCGCGAAUGGAGCGGCCGAUGGCAGAUUAGGUAGUUGGUGAGGUAAAGGCUCACCAAGCCGUCGAUCUGUAGCUGGUCUGAGAGGACGACCAGCCACACUGGGACUGAGACACGGUCCAGACUCCUACGGGAGGCAGCAGUGGGGAAUAUUGGACAAUGGGCGAAAGCCUGAUCCAGCCAUGCCGCGUGUGUGAGGAAGGUCUUCGGAUUGUAAAGCACUUUAAGUUGGGAGGAAGGACAGUAAAUUAAUACUUUGCUGUUUUGACGUUACCGACAGAAUAAGCACCGGCUAACUCUGUGCCAGCAGCCGCGGUAAUACAGAGGGUGCAAGCGUUAAUCGGAAUUACUGGGCGUAAAGCGCGCGUAGGUGGUUUGUUAAGUUGAAUGUGAAAUCCCCGGGCUCAACCUGGGAACUGCAUCCAAAACUGGCAAGCUAGAGUAUGGUAGAGGGUAGUGGAAUUUCCUGUGUAGCGGUGAAAUGCGUAGAUAUAGGAAGGAACACCAGUGGCGAAGGCGACUACCUGGACUGAUACUGACACUGAGGUGCGAAAGCGUGGGGAGCAAACAGG